UGCAAGUUGAGCGGUAAGGCCCCUUCGGGGGUACACGAGCAGCGAACGGGUGAGUAUCGCGUGGGUAAUCUACCUAGAGGUGGGGGAUAGCCUCGGGAAACCGAGGGUAAUACCGCAUGAGUCCUCAACGGCAUAAGUCGAUGAGGGGAAAGGCGGGGCUCCUUCGGGACCUGUCGCCUCCGGAUGAGCCCGCGUCCGAUUAGCUAGUUGGUGGGGUAAUGGCCUACCAAGGCAGCGAUCGGUAGCCGGCCUGAGAGGGUGAACGGCCACAUUGGGACUGAGACACGGCCCAGACUCCUACGGGAGGCAGCAGUGGGGAAUUUUGGGCAAUGGGGGAAACCCUGACCCAGCGACGCCGCGUGGAGGAUGACGGCCUUCGGGUUGUAAACUCCUGUCAGGUGGGAAGAAAAGCCAGUCGGAUAAUACCCGGCAGGAAUUGACGGUACCACCAAAGGAAGCCCCGGCUAACUCCGUGCCAGCAGCCGCGGUAAUACG
rnacentral:rRNA from 1 species